rnacentral:rRNA from 1 species
AACGCGAAGAACCUUACCUGGGUUAAAUCACUGGUGCAAGGCGUAGAGAUACGUCCCCCGGGCAACCGGCGCCAGUGAAGGUGCUGCAUGGCUGUCGUCAGCUCGUGUCGUGAGAUGUUGGGUUAAGUCCCGCAACGAGCGCAACCCUUACCACUAGUUGCCAGCAUUAAGUUGGGCACUCUAGCGGAACUGCCGGUGAUAAACCGGAGGAAGGUGGGGAUGACGUCAAGUCAUCAUGGCCUUUAUGUCCAGGGCUACACACGUGCUACAAUGGCCGGUACAAACUGCUGCAAACUCGCGAGAGGGAGCCAAUCGGAAAAAACCGGUCUCAGUUCGGAUUGGAGUCUGCAACUCGACUCCAUGAAGUUGGAAUCGCUAGUAAUCGCAGAUCAGCACGCUGCGGUGAAUACGUUCCCGGGCCUUGUA